UACGUAGGGGGCGAGCGUUGUCCGGAUUUACUGGGCGUAAAGAGCGCGUAGGCGGAAAUUUAAGCGUGGCCUGAAAGCCCCCGGCUCAACCGGGGAGUGCGGCUGCGAACUGGGUUUCUUGAGGACGAUAGAGGAGAGUGGAAUUCCUGGUGUAGCGGUGAAAUGCGCAGAUAUCGGGAAGAACACCCGUGGCGAAGGCGGCUCUCUGGGACGGUACUGACGCUGAGACGCGAAAGCGUGGGGAGCGAACAGG
rnacentral:rRNA from 1 species